rnacentral:rRNA from 1 species
GACGAACGCUGGCGGCGUGCUUAACACAUGCAAGUCGAACGGAAAGGCCCUGCUUUUGUGGGGUGCUCGAGUGGCGAACGGGUGAGUAACACGUGAGUAACCUGCCCUUGACUUUGGGAUAACUUCAGGAAACUGGGGCUAAUACCGGAUAGGAGCUCCUGCUGCAUGGUGGGGGUUGGAAAGUUUCGGCGGUUGGGGAUGGACUCGCGGCUUAUCAGCUUGUUGGUGGGGUAGUGGCUUACCAAGGCUUUGACGGGUAGCCGGCCUGAGAGGGUGACCGGCCACAUUGGGACUGGGAGACGGCCCAGACUCCUACGGGAGGCAGCAGUGGGGAAUAUUGCACAAUGGGCGGAAGCCUGAUGCAGCAACGCCGCGUGCGGGAUAACGGCCUUCGGGUUGUAAACCGCUUUCGCCUGUGACGAAGCGUGAGUGACGGUAAUGGGUAAAGAAGCACCGGCUAACUACGUG